CCUUCUCCUUAGUUUCCACACAGGGCCAGCCUACGUGUUUUCCUCAUGAGGUAAAGUGCACUGUGCGCUUCCUCGCACGUCUGGCAAUGGAUCUAAAGCUUCGCAAGUUCGUCCCUUGUGUUUGAGCAAUUUUAAAAUCCAGUCGCUUCAUUGUUAUCCACAUCCUCCUCCUCCUCCUCAUCAUCAUCGGACCCAGCGGGAGCAGAGAGGAAGAAGAUGGGGUGCUGCUCGGCGCGAUGCAUGCUGAUCCUCCUGUGUUGUUUGCAGUUGAUAACUGCGCUGGAGAGGCAGGUGUUUGACUUCCUUGGCUACCAGUGGGCUCCCAUCAUGAUCAACUUCUUUCACAUCAUUGUGGUCAUCCUGGGCCUGUUUGGUGUCAUCCAGUACAGAUCACGCUAUGUUAUUAUGUACCUGCUGUGGACCUUGUUGUGGGUUGGCUGGAAUGUCUUUGUUAGCUGUCAUUACUUGGAUCUGGGAGGGCUUUCAAAGGACAGCGAUACACUCUCCCUGGGAGUGUCGUCGCAUCGCUCAUGGUGGAAGGACAACGGGCCGGGGUGUGAGAGCAAGGGCCUUCCCUCCUCUGGGUGGCAGAACCAGCAGAACCCGGAGCUGACCACAGUGCUGAGCUGCUGGCUAGAAUACCAGUACAUAGAAAUCUUGCACUGCAUCGUCCAGCUCCUCCUAUCACUCCUGGGAUUUGUUUAUGCCUGCUACAUCGUCAGCAAUUUGUCAGAUGAGGAAGACAGCUGUAAUUAAUUUCAUUGGUGAAUUUCAUCAUCCAUUGAAACCCUCUCAGUUGAUCUAGUGUAAAGACCUGCAGAUUAUAAAUAACCACAAAAAAACAGUGGAGAAAAGGCUGGGAAGGAGACGCGCAGACAAGGAGACAACUGUAAAGACCGUCAUUGUCUAAUUUUUUUGCCUGAUUAUCAAUUAAAACAUCGGUCACAGAUGUUGACCCUCACUAUGCACAAACUGCACACACUUUCCUGAGUCAAGAGGGGAAUUUCCACAAUACAUUACUGUAUAAAAAGUGUAGACCUACUCAUGUUUGUCUUCAGGCAUCAAAUUCAGUAAAUGUCCAUGUAAAUCUACCUCUGUAUGUGUGUGCGUGUGUGUGCCAAAGAGAUAGAAAUCCCUACAUAUUAAGCUCUCUAAUACAAAAGAAAAGUGAUUUGAAAGAUGUAAAUAAGUAGCAGAUUCUUUCUGAUGUUUUGUAAAAUAAAUUAUUAAUGUGUGUCACUCAUUGCAGUUAGAAAACGUGUAUAGUGUAUGAUAUUAUUCAGUGAAAUAAACCACGUCUACACAAUAUAGCUUGUAAUAGGGUGUUGCACACAUUUCUUUAUUAUUAAAAAUGUACAAGACCAGGUAACGUUAUCUGCCUUCUAUCAGCUCUGGAUGGCUCCUUAACAUUACUAAUGAUAAGUUGCCGUU